GGUGCUGCCCUGCCUGCGUGCAUUGCAUUACUCUACUCGUGUGGAUUUCAGGGACCAGAUUGCAUUUAGUUCCGGGUGCAGUCAAGACGUACGUACUGGAGUCUGGAGCGAGCGACGCCGCAACAGCACGUACAACGGUAAUCAAUGUAUCGUCUAUAUAGUGCCACGUCUGCUUGUUUUGCCUACGUGGACUCGAUUUAAUGGAGUGAGAGAACUGUGUCGUCGUCUCCAGCUCGUGCUCCCAAGUUUUAUCGCCGGCCUGGAAUCCGUUGUACGCGUCGUCCCCCACUGAAGCCGUCCUCUCAAUCCGGUGAGGCGACUCAGUGGCGGCAAAUUUAUGUCCGCACGCGGGAGCGGAAGGAUGCAGCUGCCGGUGCCGGAGGAGAAGGGCACGAUGUCGUCCGUGGCUGCCUUCCGGGAUGGAUCUCGCCACGGCGCUACCUGUUUUGACGUCGCGUUGUCCUUCACGGCUUCACCGGCGCCUACAGUCACCGCCACCUUGCCCUUCUCUGGCUGCGGCCAUCCUUCCUCCGCGGCCGCCGCAGCAUGAUUUCCUCAACCGCCGUCUGCAUCGGUGAUGUCGAGUUGCCGACCCCUUCCACGGUGGUGCCAUGGUGGGCCACGGAGGCCAGUGCAAGCUAAAUUUCUCCACCCCAUCAUCAGAUCCCGCAGCCUUGAACUUUCGAUGAAACAGGAACUUUAGGAGGGAGUAAAGAAACAAACACUCCCUUAUCUCCCAAAUUGGCUGGACUGAACCGGUUAUUUGUUGCAUUGUGGAGUUUGCGGUGGUUUAGUUUCAAGCGCAUGAAAGCUUGGAAGCAAUGCCGAGGAUAGGAGGACGAUUCAUUUGCCAGUACCCUAUUUCUGAACCGCAACCCUGCAUACCUUAUUUCUGAACCGAUUCUUUAAAUUUCUGAAGCAUCAGAGAGUUUGUUUGUUGGAGCAACGUGUGUAUCUAUUGAUACAAAUUCUCA